GGGCCCGCACAAGCGGAGGAACAUGUGGUUUAAUUCGAUGAUACGCGAGGAACCUUACCCGGGCUUGAAUUGCAGAGGAAUGUGGGAGAGAUUCCACAGCCGCAAGGUCUCUGUGAAGGUGCUGCAUGGUUGUCGUCAGCUCGUGCCGUGAGGUGUUGGCUCAAGUGCCAUAACGAGCGCAACCCCUGUUUCCAGUUGCCAUCGGGCAAAGCCGGGCACUCUGGAGAUACUGCCGUCGUAAGAUGCGAGGAAGGUGGGGAUGACGUCAAAUCAGCACGGCCCUUACGUCCGGGGCCACACACGUGUUACAAUGGGGGGUACAGAAGGCAGCUGCCGUGCGAGCGGCGGCGAAUCCGGAAAGCCCCUCCCAGUUCGGACUGGAGUCUGCAACCCGACUCCACGAAGCUGGAUUCGCUAGUAAUCGCGCAUCAGCCAUGGCGCGGUGAAUACGUUCCCGGGCCUU
rnacentral:rRNA from 1 species